UGUAAUAAGUACAGCCACUGCCUACUGGGA
rnacentral:piRNA from 1 species